rnacentral:lncRNA from 1 species
GCGGGUUGUGCACUUGUGAUGGUCUCUACUGCUUUGCAAAGUCAUUGCCAUAGGUUUCACCCUACCACAUACACAAGGUAAGUCCGUUACCGCGCAAUAGACCUCCAAGUAGCGUCCACAAUAGGACCUUCUACUACUCUCACCACAUGAAUCAAUCAUCUCUAUAUGAGAAUGAAAUAUCACUAGAGUAUUAGGAUAACCCCCAAUACUGAGCUCCCUGUAUUCAUUCCAAACACACUUAUAUCUUACCAAGAGAUUCCACUUUGAAAUCAUACUUUAGUUCUCAUUUGAAUUCACCAUUCCAUCCUUU